UACGGAGGGUGCAAACGUUGCUCGGAUUCACUGGGCGUAAAGGGGGCGUAGGCGGUCGGGUAAGUCUGAUGUGAAAUCUCACAGCUUAACUGUGAAACUGCAUUGGAUACUAUUCGGCUUGAGAGUUGGAGGGGGGACUGGAAUUCUUGGUGUAGCAGUGAAAUGCGUAGAUAUCAAGAGGAACACCAGUGGCGAAGGCGAGUCCCUGGACAACUUCUGACGCUGAGGCACGAAAGCUAGGGGAGCAAACAGG
rnacentral:rRNA from 1 species